rnacentral:lncRNA from 1 species
ACCAAGUCUGUUUCAACUUGUUUCUAAUUUGUGAGUAAGCUCUUCAAUAUGUUCUAAAACAAUUAGCCACUAUCCAUAAAUAAUCACAGUUGGAAUAGAUAAUUAAACAAACAAAAAGUCUCAUUUCUCUCAUUGCAGGUGUGAACAAGGUCCAUCAAAUGUGUAACUUACUUCUCCAAACUCUACAGAUAUCUCACAAUAUCAUAAGAGUUGGAACUUAAGUUUCAAAGAGAUGGAAGCAAAGUGACACCAAAAAUAUCCUAAAAUUGAACCAGAAUAAUGGGAAGCCUCCAGAAACAAAGCAUUUGGACUCAGGCAAAUGCUGAUGCGGAUGAAGUUUGCCUUUGUUCCUUCUGCACCGUCCUUUCCAGCAUCACUUUCUCCUGAAGGUCCCGUGUGCGUAGACAGCAGUGUCUCAGAAAAAAAAGUAUGGAUUGACUUCUUAAUAUGUCUCCAAACAGCACAGGCUUGGACAUAACAAUAAGAC